GUGGUUGUAGCUCAGUGAUAGAGUGCUUGCCUAGCAUGAGUGAGGCACUGGGAUUGAUUCUCAGCACCACA
rnacentral:tRNA from 1 species